rnacentral:rRNA from 1 species
UGGGGAAUCUUGGACAAUGGGCGAAAGCCUGAUCCAGCGACGCCGCGUGGGUGAUGAAGGCCUUAGGGUUGUAAAGCCCUUUCACCGGGGAGGAUGAUGACGUUACCCGGAGAAGAAGCACCGGCUAACUCCGUGCCAGCAGCCGCGGUAAGACGGAGGGUGCGAGCGUUGUCCGGAAUUAUUGGGCGUAAAGAGCGUGUAGGCGGCCCGGUAAGUCUGCCGUGAAAACCUGGGGCUCAACCUCGGGCGUGCGGUGGAUACUGCUGGGCUAGAGGAUGGUAGAGGCGAGUGGAAUUCCCGGUGUAGCGGUGAAAUGCGCAGAGAUCGGGAGGAACACCAGUAGCGAAGGCGGCUUGCUGGGCCAUUCCUGACGCUGAGACGCGAAAGCUAGGGGAGCGAACAGGAUUAGAUACCCCCGUAGUCC